rnacentral:rRNA from 1 species
GUAGGUGGCAAGCGUUGUCCGGGAAUUAUUGGGGCGUAAAGCGCGCGCAGGCGGUUCUUUAAGUCUGAUGUGAAAGCCCACGGGCUCAACCGUGGAGGGUCAUUGGAAACUGGAGAACUUGAGUACAGAAGAGGAAAGCGGAAUUCCACGUGUAGCGGUGAAAUGCGUAGAGAUGUGGAGGAACACCAGUGGCGAAGGCGGCCUUCUGGUCUGUAACUGACGCUGAGGCGCGAAAGCGUGGGGAGCAAACAGGAUUAGAUACCCUGGUAGUCCACGCCGUAAACGAUGAGUGCUAAGUGUUAGGGGGUUUCCGCCCCUUAGUGCUGCAGCUAACGCAUUAAGCACUCCGCCUGGGGAGUACGGCCGCAAAGGCUGA